ACAGUGGUGGUUCAGUGGUAGAAUUCUUACCUUCCAUGUGGGAGUCCUGGGUUGAAUUCCCAUCCAGUGCA
rnacentral:tRNA from 1 species